AGAGGUGUUCCAAUAGGGAUCUUGUAACAGCACCUAACGUGCUUCCCCUGGUGAGGAAAUGAAUGGAGAUGUUUCCCAGGCCUGGAAGCUUUUAUUAAGAGAUACGGGUGUAAUAUUCCUAGACUAUUAAAAAGAGAAAAAAAAGUCCAUUAUGUUACAGUAGAGGAAACAUAACUUCUGCACGCUAAACUUCAUUGCAGUACAUCUUGUGUAUGAGUGCAGUUUGACCUCCGGUUCUGCGAAGGGAGAAGGAAGCCUGUGUUUUGCAGCUCUAUCAAACGGGCUGGGAACACCUGUGCUACUGUGACUGAACCACGUGGACAAAGCAGUCGGUGCCCUUAAUGCAGCCAGUAUUUGCACACAUGGGCUUCAGGCUAUGGGGUUCACGCUCAGUCACCACAUCACCCAUCUGCAGAUGGUUGCAUCUUCUAGCAGACGUUCCUGCAGCUUACGCACGAGCGGCUGAGGCAGCCGUGGGCAGGCCUGGCCGCGCUGCCUGACCACACACCUUUGGUGCUGGCCACUGCUUACUUCCGCUCCCUCCGCUUUCCUUUCCUGGGCUGGCUGGCUAAUUGGGCGGGUUGACAUAUCUUGGUGAUGAGUCCUCUUCUGCAUACUAGCAGUAUGUGCUGGACACGAAAGCAGAGCAAUUCUGGGGCGAGACCAGAGCCCAGGAAUCUUAUUUUCCCUUUCCUGUUGCUCAAAGCAUCACACGCUGAUUUCCUCUGUGGGAUCCUGGUGGCUGCCCUGCUGUAUUGGCUUGGUUUGAAAGGGAUCUAACAUUGCAGAAAGGCAAGGGGGACGGUGCUCUCUAAUCGUAAAGGAGUGUGCUGUUAGCUGGAGAUCAGAGUAGGAGGCUUUUGCCUCCUCCUAGGCAAGCAGGACGGCAUGAAAGACAGCUCUUUGCUUUCUGCCAGUUCUCCCCCCUCCCAACGCUGGCACACCUCUCUGCAGCUCCCACAGAGUGUCAUCCCACCGACGUGCUAAAAGCGAUGCCUGCGAGGUACUGCAGUAUGCCUCCUGCAGCAAGAAAAAAGCACUGUGUCUGGAUUUGGCAGAGUUUCCCCUCCCUAGCGAGAAGCUUUGCAUCCUGCUGUGCCCCUUGUAGUCUGACAAGGAGGUUUCCAGUGCCUCGCCGGUGCCAGCAUCUGCAUGGAGUUAUACCUGGGUAAGGGCUGGAGGCAUUUAGGAAGACAAUCAGACUUUCGUCCCUUCCUAUUUUGCAUACUUGCUUUUAUUUGUGUCCUGUCUAGGCACAAAGGGGGAUUUUUACUUCUUCCCUCAAGACACAGAGCCAAUAAGUCCAGGAGUGGCUUGCUAUUUGAAAUGGAGAUGGUGAAAAUUGAGGUAGCUGCCUCCGAGGGAAGAGCAGGCUACCUGUGCGGAUAGCAGAGCUUACUGCCUGCUUCAGGAGCUGCUCACAGUGACCUUCGCUCUAUUUCUCAAGAGAAACUCCUUGUGCUUUUGUCCAUGCUGGGGGUACCUCUACACUGAGGUGCCUGUGCCGAGGGGCUCUCACAAUGCGAAAUGUACUUGCACCUGCAAUGAGAACACAGUUUUAAAAGCUUCAGGUGGAGAACACGCUAUCAUGUCACCGCUGCCAGCUCUGAGCAUCCAGCGAGGAUAAGACAGGCUCUGAAACAGUAAGUUUUGGAGUAGAAAGGGGAGAUGGGCCCUGUGCAGAGUUUGCUGGCCUGCUGGCUACUUAGCCCUUCGCAUAUCAAGCCAGGGAGCUUCUCUCAGGCUGCUGGGGGCCACAACAUCAUCUUUUAAACGUGCAGAUUAAGAUCCUGCCUUACGUGACUAGAGGAGCCGGGGCUUGGGAAGCAUCUCAGAAUGCAUGGCAAGAGUGGGCGGCAGUGUGACAUUCAGUCGUGUCUUUGCUGCCAAAACAAACGCACCCCUUUAGGUAACUAACACAUGCGAGCAGUUCUGCUGCUCAGUCCCAGAGGGGAUGAGGCACGAGGGGUUUCACUGCGCAGUGGUUUGUAACCACUGGUACGGCCUUCGCUGUGUUCAAACUCCUCUGGCUUGUCACAGCACUCCGCUCCUUCUAGGACUCUGCAGGGAGACAGCUCUUGCACAGGGUUUUUUCAUUCCAGCAAAGCUUAUUAUUUUUGUCUUUAACGUGAAUUCUCUGGUGUCUAAACCCAAGACUGAAGCUUUUAGUAGCACAAAUUUAGUGGUCUCUUGUCUACCUGACUAAACUUGCAAAGAUCUGGUAGUUUGGAGAUCUCGAUUCCUACAUCAUUUUUAAUUGAAACUGGCCAGCAGGUUCAAAGCUUGUAUUGGGAGACUGACCAAAAAGGGAACAGUGGUCUCACACCCCCGAUUUCCUUAACUAGAAAGUUUAAGAAAAAACAAACCCACAUUUUUGCAGUUAAGACUUAGCUUAAGUUUAAGCUAUAUUGAAGAAGCAAUGCCUGUAUAACUAUCUCACAAAUAAAACUAAUUGCAGACCAGACACAUUUUUAUGAUUUUAUACAUAACUACAUUUGCUCCAGAGCUUCUGCUGGCAUGAAAAUGCUGUAUAAUUUCCAGCUCCUUUAGCAGGGCCCUGAUAGCAAAGAUCAUUAAUGCAUGCUAGGCUUAGGUUUUGAGGGUUUUGCAUUCUGCCUAAGAGGAAAUCUUUAGGUGAAAGCUUAAUUUCCCUGUGAUUGCUUCUAGUCACUGUGACAAAGCUCUUUACAGCCUCUGAAUGCUUUUAGAGGUUUAUCAGGUCUUCCCAAUGUACGUACACCGAGAUCUAUAUAUUGAGGCAUAUGCAGGCUUUUAGGUAGGGUUCUGAGACCUCACAGUGAUGUCAUGUUUUUAAUUUAAAGUUGUCAUUUCAUGGUGUUUGUCUUUCUAGCCCUCAUGGCUAUAACAAAGAAGCCUUUGAGAAGGUGAGCUGCCUAUAGUCCUGGCUUCAGCAUAGUUUGCAGAUGCCUUGAAGUGUAUUCUUGAGAGACUGGAGCUGCCUGUCCAUCUUGGAUGUUCAGCUGUGUCCCUGAGAGCUCCUCCUCGCUACAGUCCCGGCAGAGUGCUGGGAAGGUCCUCGCUGCUUCACCCUGCACAUCAUCCUCUGCUCCUAGGGGAGUCCCAGAACAGAUCCCAGCAUCCCUGAGCAUACCAGCACACUACAGAGAAGAGGGGGUUUGCCUUCCUGGUCAGCCCAAGGAGUGUAUUUGAUGUAGAGGGCUCCUCGUGCCUCUCAGAAGGAUGGACGAUGGCACGCUCACACUUAGGGCUAUGCCAUUCCCAUUGCACGUGUGCGGUGGGUGUGAUCAGCACGGUGACUUCUUUGCAAAGCGCCGCAGGCUGAGGAUGCCGCUGCAUUCACAGCUCCAUCUCUGGUCUCUUGUGUGGUCCCAGGCAAAAUGCUGACUUCUGUGCCUUGGCUUCACCACCUGGAAAACUCAAAUAGCCGUAUUUGUCUCUCACCCUCAGGCUUGCCUCCACCUGUGAGACAGCGAGGUGGAUCCAGUGUUUGCUACAAGGUCAGAAGCAUGACUUGGCCAUGCUCCAGGCUGUCCCAGUUGGCAGCAGGCGCCUGGGCACCGGGGCUGGGGAGAGAAGGGGGAGAGCGGUGCUGCCCCUGUUGUGAGGCUGAGAGCGUGACCCACGGCACUGCGGCCGCAGUAUCCUGAACACACUGACCCGUGACCUGGGCUGAACCCCUUUCAGGGCUUUUGUGCCUACAGGUAAGAAAUAUGUGAUGGAACCCAUCGCACUGGAGAACUGUCAGAGCCUGGUGACAUCAAUCUGCUGUGGUUUAACCCCAGCCAGUAACUAAGUACCAUGCAGCGGCUCACCUCCCUCCCCAGAGGGAUGGGGAGGAGAAUCGGGAAGAAAUGUAAAACUGAAGGGUUGAGAUAAGAACAAUUUAAUAAUUAAAAUAAAAUAAUAAGAAUAAUAGUAACAAUUAUAAUGAAAAGGAGGGAGAAGGGGAGAGGAAUAAAAUCCGGAGGAAGGGAGAAAAGAAACCAAGUGAUGCACAAUGCGAUUGCUCAGCACCUGCUGACUGAUGCCCCGCCAGUCCCCUGGCAGCGAUCGGCAGGCCCCAGCCAACUCCCCCCAGUUUAUAUACCAACCAUGAUGCUGUAUGGUAUGGCCACUUUGGGUCAGCUGUCCUGGCUGUGUCCCUCCCCAAUUUCUUGUGCCCCUCCAGCCCUCUCACUGGCAGCUCAUGAGAGCCCUGAAAAGUCCUUGACUUAGUAUAAACAUUACUUAGCAACAAUUAAAAACAUCAGUGUGUUAUCAACAUUAUUCUCACACCGCAGUCAAAACACAGCACUGCACCAGCUACUAAGAGGAAUAUUAACUCUACCCCAGCUGAAACCAGGACAGGGAGGCAGGACGCUGCUCGGGCAGCAGGGCCCAGCUGCUGGGCUACCAGUGAUUCCAGAUCCCAAAGGGCCAGUCUCGCCCAACAGCUCUGUGCGCAGAUCUUCCCCAGGGUUACAAUAAAUGCCAAGUGCCAAGCGGUUGUGUUCUUUCUGAAAGAUGACUGUCUUGCUUGGCUAGGAUCUGAUGACAUCUAUAUAUGCAUGAUCUAUUUUCCUUUGAAAAUUAAAACUGCUGUGUCUCUUUAUUUUUGGCAACAAGGAACUAAUAGUAUCUUGUGAGUUUAGCCCUGUGCUUAGGAGGGGGAUGUGACUUGGUGGGAUAAGCCAUUUCCUGAGAGGUGUGAGACAUGACUUCAAGACCUGGUGGUGCCAUUCGUGUAUUCUGUUCUGAGGAGUUGAUAAGAGCUUCAGACACACAGAAAGCCUUGAACUUAUGUCUCAUGGUUAUUGAGAAAAGGAUCCAAAUGUGAAGUGAGUUUUGCUCCAACGGUUCAAAACCAGAAGGCAAUACACGGAACCAGAACCUUCCCAUCAGGUUGGAUGCUUGUUACGAUACGAACACAGAUCCACUAUUUUUCUCUGCCCCUGGCUGCUCUGGUACUAUUACACGCCACAAGUCUUCCCUCUCUGAGUAGUGUUGACUUGACUUGCAAUUUCUUCAGCUGGCUUCCCUGCACUUCCCUGCUGCUGCUCAGGCAUGUGCCAAGGCUGGUGCUCUGGCUUCAGUCUUAUCAUUCAUUCUAAAUAUUUCCUAGCUUCUUUUCUUAUUAGUUUUGGAGACAAGGGACUGUUGGUCUCUUGUGUAUCGUGGCACUUGCAACAAAACCAUUUUGGUUUGCUCUAGCAUUUUUUUCUAGGAUGUUUCAUUUCAAAGAUAUUCAGGCCUCUGUACGGCUUGGAAGAUUUUCAGCUUUAACACGUAGAUGGAAGGUGGGAAGUUCCACCUGUGUUGGGGAUUUGCAGUUUUGGGUGACCAUAGCUGGUGAGUGCAGUGGUUACUAUGCCAUUUGACGAAGCUAUUCUCUUCCAUGCAUGAAUUGACUCAUAUUUCUUUGCUAUUUAAAAUCACACUGAAGAAAAGAAAAAGAAUGAACCCAGCAGGCAUUAUUUCUGUGGGUUAUCCAAAUUUCUGUAAGCCCACAGCAUGGUUUUCUGGUGUCUGACUCAUAGAGAAGCUCCACGCAUUUGCAUAGAAAAGUAUCUCCAUCUUCCUCCCCCACUAUCCUGUCCUUUGGCCACCCCAGAUAAGCUGUCCAAUACCAUCCUGCACGUUGCCUCACUCACCUCCACAACACACCCUCUAGGGCACAUCCCUGCCCUCCACCCGGGACUGGUGCCCCCGCGGGCUGCCCUCCUCAGCUCUUGCCCCAGACCUUCAAAAUGCCUCUUAUUCUCUCGUCCUCAUUUUCUAUGGCAGCUGUUUUUCUUCCCCUAUUAUUCAAGCUCAGCUCCUCUCCUUUUAUUUCUGGCAGGGUUAUUUUUCUAUUUGACUUUGGCCCCAUUUGUCAAGGGCGCACCCUUGUCACCUCCUUAGUCUAAUCCUCUCCUUUGUUGUCUAAAGGUCUUCCUCUCUUUCCUUUCAUUGGUACUUUUAUCUCUUUCUCCAUUAUCUUUUAGUCCUCUUGAUUCUUCCCCCUCUCUUUUGCUUUUGACCAAGCUUGUCUUACACAUAUUACUUGGGGGAUUUAAGACUUUUCUCCUUGACAGCUUUUCUUCCCCGCCCCCUGGAAGUUUCUCCUUGCUGCUGGACACAUGCCAAAAAGCAAAUACAUUUAUUACUCCAAAUGAGACAACUGUAAUCCCAGAUCGAGAGUGACUCCAGGCGGCAGUGAUCGCAGCAGCGCUCUACUGCCAUCUUAACCAUCCCCCGUAUCUUUGCGAGACCACAUUUUUCCUCUUUUGCUGUUUGCUGUCGUAUCUUCACACCUGGGAGGCUGUCUUAAGGUCUCUGAGAUAAGGCAGCAUGUGCAGUCCUGGCAUGUGCAGAGCAGGCCAGGGGAAACAGGGAACCUGCUGACACUGAAAAUCCUGACAGACUGAAGACUGGCCCUCCCUGCCCACAGAGCUUGAUUUUGCACCUCUUCAGAAAAAUGGCAAUCUUUCCACUGCCUGCACGGAGCACCCUCUUGCUUCAGGGACCAGGAUAAAUUCUAGCUGUGAGAUGUGAAGAGCCACACAGUGGCCCACAGAAGCAAACCCCGUACGUUGUGCUCUUUCCUCCGCCUAACGAAGUGUCCUGGAUGUGUGUGAGCACUGGCCUUCUUCAUCUCAAACAGGUCUUUGCAUUUCAGCUUUCCACAGCAGGAAGUUGCCAUUAAUAGUGUGUAGCCAGGCCUGGGCUCUCCAAACAUAUAUAUCAAUAUAUGCCACUGAAACUUGCCUGUGGCCCCAUUGCUGAAGGGAAAGUCCCUGGCACACUGGCAGAGACACACAGGGUUGUUCCUAGAAGAUCCAUAUUCCAGAGCAGGAUCGGUGCCUGCUUCCUUCUCCUCAGGCCUUUAUCUAAUCUUGCAGCAAUGCAGCUUCAGCAGAUUCCUUGGCUAACCAAAGUGGAAAAGCUGGUUUGAGAUGGAAAUUUUACUUAGGACCAUGUAAAAUAUGUAUGCACAAAGAGCUGCGGAAGACUGGGUCAUUGCAGGUCUGCCUGACCUCUUUUCUCUGUCCACACUUCCCAGGGUCCGUUCUCAAACUCUUGACAGUAUUUUCAGCAGAUGCAGAAACUGUGGACCACAUCCCACAGUAGGAAGGACUUACGCACUUUGUCUUCACAGCAAAAGGAGAGCUACUCCUGUGAAAUCCUCUCUACAUCGGUUGGUCCAGGUUGCUGGUUUUCUCCGUGUAGCAUGUAGAAAUCAUGAAUCAUGAAAAAAGGAGCCACAAAGUGCUCUUUGGAGCACUUGCAGAAUACCCAUAGUUUAAAUAAUUGCAAUUUUUUUUGCUGGGUGAAGUUUGGACCAUUUGGGAGUUGACCAUGGUAUGAAUAGGAAGGGGAAAGCUAAGUGGAAAAUACCUUUGCUAGCAGUGCCUCCAGUAGGCACAGCACAAAUAAGCAAAAGAGGUACAUGCUUUGGCUGGCACUUUUUUGGUGAGAAAAUGCCUCCAUUAGACCUAUUUAUUGGUGGGCUGCCUAAGCCGAGUACUCCUGGGGUGACUGUUGUUAUAUAGCAAAGUGUUAUUUUCCACCUCCUUCCUGAAGAAAAUAAGCAGCGCUUGUUACAACAGAGAUUUUGCUGUUAGAACUGUGUUUUUAUCACAGCACAGAAGAGCAGAGGGCAGCACUGGUCACAUCGUGGGGAUGCUGUAGGGGCACUGCUGUCAUUUGCCAUGUGUGAAGUACAUAAGCUGUGUGGGCCUUGGUGAGGAGAUGGUGUGACACUCUCCGCUGGUCCCCUUGCGUAAGUGCCAGGUGGAAGCCUAGUAUAAAAAGGGCAGCAACAACCUUGGGGCGAGGCUGGAGAGGACUUCUGUGGUUGCCAGUGUCACAUGUUUCAGCAGAAAUUCGUUUGACAUUUUGGAAGGGGGAAGGCAGUGCUGAUCGUUCCUGGCUGCUGUGCUGAGUAUGUGCCGAUGCACUUGGCUCUGAGCAUGAUGCAUUUUCCAGCACAGAGGAGGCUUGUGUCCAUGCGGUUUUAAGGUCAAUUGUGCCAUCACACCCUUGAGACAGUAAACAGUGGCAGAUUGUGAAAGGGGCUGUACCAGUAACUCAUGACAUUUUUGGCACGCCAUCUAACCAGUGCCCAGGGAAGGCGCUCAGACUGUGGUGAUGCACCGUCUCCUCACAUUUUGCAGCUUUUCCUGGUGAAGGUAGGCUAGACAUCCCUGGCCUGGCCUUCUAAAUGGACCUCUUGCCAGGACAGCGGGUCCCUGCAAGAUGAAACACAGCAGGUCGGGGAAAAGUAAGACAUCGAUAUUUCCCCAUGAGGUCUUUUAGGAUCUCAGAAGAAACCAUAGCUAAAAAUCAAACAAUCUUCAGUCACAGACUCAGAGGUGAGGGACAAUGCACGUAAAGUUGUGAAAGGUACCUCAGAAAAUGCGGGCCAUUCAUAUGGAGUAUGUCUGGCAAUGUAGUAGUACAGAUAUUCAGACACAUGCAAGCACAGGGUAGGUGUAGAAUUUUGGGGAGUUAGAACUCAUAUUAUCAGCACUGGUUAAACCUCUGCACUAAACCUUUAUUCAGCAGCAUUUUAGCCUCCCCUGUUUUAUUGUACGUUCAUCUGCCUGUCUUGUAUCACACGGGACAGCCGCUGAGCAGCAGCCUUGAAAGAAACUGAACCAAAAGUGUCUUCCGAAUAUCCCACGUGGAAGAGAACCAGUUAGAUACAGCAGUCACAGCAGCUGCUCCUAUUCUUGUAUCAACACAUCUGUUGUCAGCUGACAGAUGCGACAAUGGAAAGAGAAAAGGAACACGGGCAACAAUUUGUAUACUUUGGGGGAAAAAUACUUGAUUAGUGCAUGUGAUUUCAGCUCCAUGGGCUGGCAUCAUUGCUAGCUGAGCAGAAACGCCAGGCAGGCGUAGGGAAGAAGCACAUCAUAUAUCUCAUCUCAUAUCUCUCUAGCAGGCGGAAGAAGCAUGUGGCUUUGUACAUGCUAUAGUAGUCCAGGCGAGUUCACGGAGCAUUGCAGUGUGGAGGGCUGUCCUAGCCCAAACUCUUUCCUUAGUCCCUAAUCCCCUUGUGUUAGCUACAGAGAUUGCAGAGUACAGGCAGGAGCUGCUCUGAAUCGGUGGUGAGUCCCCAUCUUCAGGUUUAUGGGACUUGUUCCCAAACUGUUGUCCCUCGUGCUCCUGAAGAAGGUCCUCAGGGCAGCAACAUGCCGUGCUGCGAGGAUCUAAGGCAAUGCAGAGGUUUUGCUGAGGAAGUCUGUGCAGCAGCAGCUGUCAUCCUCAGGGACCAUUAUCCUCAUUACCCCCCAGUCCUGGAUAAGCUUCCCCCAAGCUCAGCUUCAUUAUUUUCUUAAUAGUGAGCAUGGUGCAAAGCACCCUCCCGAAAGCUCUGGAAGUUGCUGGUCCAGUCUGUAAAGGGGCUUGGGGGUGUGAUGCUCCUCACCAAUGGUUUUUACUGCACAGCUGCUUUUACCCAGGUUCCAGCAGCAUCACGGUGCCACCCGUGGUAACAGUGUCAGAGCACUGAGUCUCUUUUGGUCUGGGCAGUCACCUGUGAGGCACCGAGAGAGCUACCUACUCGCUAGGUCACUACAGCUGCCGGUCACCGCUGACCUGGGCCAGAUUUGAAUGCUGGGUCCCAAGAUGAGGGGUUUCACCCUGUCAUUCUUCUCCAGAGGCAGCUGCUCUUCCCGCAGAAGUCUUCCAAGAGCAUUUCUAAUGGAUGCAGGAAAAAGAGGAAAACAUAUCGCCAGGCUUUUACUUCCAUGCUGGCAUUACAUUCCUUCCUGUGACACUCUCUCCUCCCAGCAAUGCAUGGCUUUAAGGUUGCAUAGACUGGGUGGAAUAUAUUUUAGAGUGAGACUCUAUUUAGCUGUGAUGUCAACUGCAGCCAACUAUAAAAAGCUCAGUAAUGCUCUUUGAAAGUGUAACAGCUGCUGCUCUGCACAGUCUCCGGUGUAUUACCAGUCCGCCCUAUUUCAUGUGCACACAACCGAAAUAAAAUAUUAUAGCAAUCAUCUUAUUAUAUAGUUCAAGGAAUUUGGGACAUAAACUCCCCAGAAACCAGGAGGAGUUCAAGGUUAGGCAAACUGGGUAAUUUUACACAGUUUGUUAACAAAAAGGUAAUUUUAUCUGGCUUUGCAGCAUAGCCUGACUUUUACCUAGCACUUGACUACGUGCUAUCAGCGAUCCCUAAAUAGUGACCACAGAGCAGCAAACCUUUCCUUUGGGCAGCUUUGCUGGAUGGUGUUCACAUACAGUUUUAAACUGAGCUCUUGCAUGGGGCCAGGCCAGCAAUAUAUUAUCCUAUUGAUAUCCUAUCCUACCCUAUCCAUAUCCAUAUGAAACCUUUUUUUGUCCUUAAAUGGGUGGCCACAUAUAUUUGAAAACACACUAACCAGGCCAAAAUUUCCCAUAAAAGCGGGACUGUUUAAAAAGAAUGUGGUUUAUUAAUCUAGAGUGAACAGAGAAGCGACUGACUGCAGAACUGUGCCAACACUGCACACCAUCACAGUACUGGAGAUGGGGUCCCAGCUGGGCCUCUAAGGACAACCCUGAAACUGUGGAUGCUGUAGUAAAGCCAAAUCUCUUCUAAAAUCUGAACAAUGAAUACUUAGGGGUAAUCCCCGCAUUUCACUCUGUGGACACAUCUGUUGAGGACCUUGAUAUAUUUUCCAGGGGUGUGUCCCUGUUUUACUAAAACGUGGGAAGUUUGAGUGACCUGCCUGCAGUUACACAAAAGCCAGCAAGUGGCAGGGCAAGAAGGGGUAAACUUUGCUGUUCUGGUUCUGCUUCCCCCAUUCCUGUCCCUUCCCUUUAGUCACUGGGCCUGCUGUUUGCUGAGCUGACAUUACCAGUGGUCCAUCCAAUUCAAUUUUCUGCAACGAAAUGAGACAGCUUGAACAAUACGAGUCCAGGAAACAACAGCUACAUAAAAAGGACACAGAAAAGUUUCAGAAAAAAAUCUUACGAGCGCCCAGUUUGCUGUAGGCGUUGCUUGAAGUCCUGCUGGGCUUGCCCUGACUUGGCAGGGUCUGUUGUGGGGACCAGCCAGGCUGAGGGGCAGCACCCUCCUGCCUCGCAGAGCUGAGCAGAUCAGCCCGGGCUCCAGGCCCCUUCUGCAUCCUUGACGAGACUAAACAGGGCAAAGUGGCCACAGUGUUGUAGGCAGGUUGAUUUUGUUUGUUUUGUAGUGCAUAUAGGGCCUUUGUAGUGUGGGUGAAGAACAGCCUGUUCCUAAGUGACGUGUAAAUGUCUCUGACACAGGUUUGAAGCAGCAGUGAGCUCACCAGUCUGUGAGGAAAUGGUCAGCUGCCAACCACGGCUGUUACCAAAGGUGACAGGACAUUUAGGCAAUGUGAGGAACAACUUGGCAUCAGACAAAGCCACUGGAAUGGAAACACACGUACCGCAGGACGGGCUCAGCCGUGCCUCUGAGCGCUGGCUGCACCCAGCUCCCAAGCAGGGAAGUUUCAUCCAUGAGGAAAUUGGAGGCACCCAGAAAUGAAAGCAAGCAGCUUCCCGUCACACGAUAAGCUUGGGAGGGUUGGGAGGGAGCCAGGGAGCAGCCUCAGUGCCCAGGCACGGUGCUGCGGGUGCAGGCCCAUCCUUCCCUGCCAGCUGUCUGGAAACCCCUCGGGCUCCCCCACCUUGCCAGGGUGCUCAGCUGCUCACUGUGCUGUGGGCAUGAGCAGUGUUUGCAGGAUGAGCAGCUGACUGGGGGAGCUAGUUUUUUCUAUGUACAAAUACACAUGCAAACAUACACCAUAUGGUUGUUUAAAUAAAGUGAUGCUGAAGAAGGG